GAAUGGGGAUUGCCCAGGAGAACCUCCGGCAGCACAUCCUACAACAGGUGCUCCAGCUGAAGGUGCGAGAAGAAGUCAGAAACCUACAGUUACUCACACAAGCCUCAACCGAGGGUUCUCCAUAAACAUGGUUAGCCUUCCAAGCUGCUGUCCUGCCAGUCGAUAUGAACAUGGCCUGUUCCUCACAGAAAGACGAACUCUUGAUGCUGCCAGAAGAUAUCCUUGGAGCAUUGACAGAUUAACUGGAUUAACUGGAAAAAAAAAAAAAAUUCGGUCAAGAUCAUGGGCUUUGGAAAGUCUUAGUUUGCUAUGGAUUUUUAAAUGAGGUGCAUAAUAUACAGUGCCAACUUGUUCCAAGUGGUCAUUGGCAGACCAUUAGCUGGAAAAUAGCUUCCAGUUUUCAUCACUGUGCAUAACUCAAGCUCCCUCGGGGAGCUGUCUGUGCCCUUCACUAGAAGUCCUGUUUUAGCAUGGCAACUACUGGAUUAUUUUAUUAUGUGUGCAGAUGGCAUGAUGUGUUAGAAAAAAAAAAUUACAGCAGUUCUGCAGUCUCAGUGGAAGUGUUCACAAUAUUAGGCCCUGGUAGAGCCAUUCCUCAUGAUACUGGAUUCUGGGAAGCCCCAAUUCUAUGACUGGUCCUGGGGACACAGAAUUGGGCCUGAGGAAUUCAAAUGAACUACUGCCAGGUGCUGAGACAUUGUAGCUGGGAAUGAACUGGUUUAGCUUGGAGUGCUCUGAGAACUACUGGUAACACCCUUAGAAAAUUGGACAUGCUUUAUGGGGCAGAUGUUCAUGAUAUGAUGAUGGUGGUUCAUCCUUACUUUGGCAUUUGCAAAAUAUGUUCUGAACAUGAGUAGAGUUUUAUAGCUUUUUUCGAGUCACAAAUGUGCUGGACAAUGAUUAAAAGAUGAUGGCUGAAGAUGGAGAUGGGAGAAGGCAAAGAUGGAAACAAUGAAAGAGCCCCAUUGAAGAUGGUGUCUCUAAAAAUGCCUUAAUUCCUGGCACAUACCACAUAUUUGCAUGUGAGCUACUACUGUUUUCCAAACUGUCAACCUCGGUUUGAAAUCAUUUGGGGGCAUAGUUUUGGAAACGUGGUGGCCUAUAAUCUGAGCAGUUACAAGCUAAACCAGCAAAAUAGAGAAAUGAUUUCCUUCACAGCCUUGGGAUUCUUUGUUAUGCAUUGAUCCACAGUUACCCAUGGUUACUUCCUGCUGUGCUGUACCUUCUUCCCAAGAUAUAUGUAGGACGUUUUACCUCCUAGAAGUGCAGAGAUGGCUGUGGUGAGUUUUGUUUAAUGGGAAGCAGGAGACAGGAAGGUAGGGGAUAAAUAUUUUGACGACUAAGGGCUGUAAACUGUGGAUGCUGAACUUUUCCUUAAACCCAGGCUGCCCCUUUUUAUUUAAAGGCGCCCCCCCCCCCCCACACACACACAUGCUUGUUCAGGAAAGGCACUCUUGGGAGUGAGCCAAAAUGAAUAAUUAUCAGACUCUUGAGGGGUACCCAGGGGAUAAAUUGUUCCAGCUCCAGAGCUGAAUUUAAAUAUGCAAAGCAUCAGUGGUCCUGCCUCAGUAAAAAGCAAAUCCCUUCAGUAGAUUAAGCCUACCUAGGGGGGCAAGAGACCCUAUCAGCUUUCUUGUGGGCGUGGCUCAUCUUCAAGUCUCUGCGCAGCCUCUGUGAGGUGUGUAACCGCCCCGUGGACUUCUACCUCCAGAAUACAGGGAAAUAACCCCGGGUUCCCUCCGGAGUCCCUUCUCAGUUGCUCGGACAGUGGCUAAUAGUCCUUAGAUCUGAGGGACUCCUUCCUGGUUUUUAACCUUCAAGGGGAAAAGGGACAUCAACCUUACGUGAGAAUAUAAUGGAAGCAUUAAAACUUCUAAUGGGCGUACCCCCUUGUUCCUUGCAAAUGUUUUCUUUGUCUGCAAAUGUCACAUAAUCGAUUUUGGCGCGGAACAAUGGAAGUCUCACAAAGGAAAAGUUUUCAAGACCCCCUUAGCACUUUCAUUUUGCCAAAACCUCCUCUUUCAGUGCUUCAGCGGCUUCAUUCUUUGUACUGUUUUCCUCUCCAUUCAAGUAAUUUUGUUACUUGACAACUAGACUUAAAGCUGCCAUGGUCUCUUUUUUAAAAGUCUAAUCUUUGAAAAUGACAUCAAUUCCUUUAUGCCUUAAAGGCAGUUUUAUUCACCUCUUCCACAACCCUCUCCACUUCACUUUCUUGCUUUGUUUUGUGAGGUGUGUUUUUUUUUUCCUCUUAAUCUCUUUCUUUUCAUAACAUAGUUCCUUGGGCAGAUUUCAAGUAUUCCGCAAAGAACCCAAACAGAAAAAUAUAGUCGUCCCCUUUCUUACCAGUUCUGACUAAUAAGUCCUUGUUGAGCUUGAUCUGGGUGAAAGCUUGGUGCCCAGACCACACUGGGCAGGAAUUCUCAUCGUCUGGAGAGUGGCCGGUCACUGCAGUAAUCAAAACAAGACCCGCGACUCACGAGGAAGGACAGACGGCCUGGGAGAUGCAGCUGCUUGGGCACAGCUGGGGACUGUGUUUCAAAGACUAGCGGGUCCUGUCCCUUUGUCUCUUUAGAUGUGCAUCUAAUCCUGUAGCCAGAGAACUGUCUUAAGAAUUCUGCUUUAUCAAUGUGAGUGAUCCCUGGCUCCGCUGCACAGCUUCAAGGUCAGAGAGGGCUGCAUUUCCAUUACUUUGCUCUGGUGACUUCUGCCUCUAGUAAAGAGGCAAGAAGGCUUCAUUUUUUAAAAAUGUUUUUAAAUAAAUUUUAUGGGGGUCUCAUUGACUUAACAAAAUUGCAUUAGUUUCAGGUGUACAGCAAAGUGAAUCAGUUAUACGUAAUACCUAUAUACCUUCCAAGGAGGCUUCUUUUGAAAGCUAACCACCUGUGGAAAGCUUGAAAAACUGGCCAGUUGCACAGGGAGGUUUGGCCACCCUUUAAUAAAAGGAACCAAAUCAAGCUUUCUCUAGGGAUUCUCAUUUGGGAAGUUGGCUAGGAGGAUGGUAUCAGUACAGGCUUUCUUCUGGCCAUUAUCUUGGCCCUGCAGGGAAAAUUCUGGGCAAGGAGGACAAGCACAGAGAUCUAACAUAUUUAGAGUGCAAUUUGCCCAUGACAAAUCUAGAGGAGAAGUGCCAUGGAGGAAAGGGCUGGUUUCAGACCUCCUUCCCAGCAACACAGACUGAGACAUAAUGUCCACAGAACAACAGAAAAGGGGUAGCAGAGGCUUUGUAAAUCUGGACUUUCCCAUGCCACGUUGGGCUAUUUUAAAGCCUUUCAGAGCCCCAAGCAUCCUUACUUCAGAGGCUCCCAAUUAUAUCAAGCGCUCGAAGGCACCAACAACAUACACCUAAUAAAAUUUCAAAGUAGCCAUGUGACUUGCAUUGCUUUGCAGGUGACUGGUUGACAUUAAGUGUUACAGCUAUUUAGACAUUAAUUCUGAUUAUGCAAUUCCUUUUUACAUUUUGAAGCCAGUGGUUUGGGGUUUCCAUCGUUUCAUUGUUUGUUUUGUUGUUGUUGUUUUCCAAACCUCAAACAUUUACAGAAGCCUUAGAAAGGCUCUUCGACCCAGAUCUUUUUGCCUGAAGCACAGAAAUAGAAACAGCCCUCUGAUGCAAACAAGGCAACGGUUAUAUUAAUCCAACUUUAGAGAUGCUAGCACCUAAACUCUUUAAGACCCUGAUGACUCUGCUGGUUGCCUUCUGCAUUGUUUAUAGCCUUUUAAGUUUCAGUCGUUUGGAUCAAGGGAAAUAAACAGGCUGCCUUCCCAUGGCCUUGCCACACCAGCACGCACACAACCACUACACAUGGAAUCCUAAGCCAGAUUCAUGUGCCACAGCACACAGAUCUGUUUCCCGUGAUCGUAUCUAAUUACCAUCCCCGACCCAACCCCCCAUUUUCUAUAAAAAUGGAUUCAUAUGCUUUACUCUAAAAAAAGUUCUAAAAUGAGGUUCGUACUCAUUAGAUCAUGACUUCUCUUGGGGUGGGGGAAUUGACUUUGCGACAUAACCUUGGAGAAAAAUCACUGGCUAUUAAAUGCCUUGGUGAUUGCUCCUGUGCCCUUCCAAAAACCGAUGUUGGACUUCUCCCAUCUCCCCAGAGGUCAGCCUGGCCUCCCUCUCAAGCAGCACAAAUAUCAUGAAGAUACCUUUGGAAGUGUCUAAACAGACUCCCUAUUCAAGCAUAAUUCCAAAAAUGGGAUUUGAAUCAAAGACUGCCUUGAUUCUGGGUUAUGUGAUCCCUAAAUCAAUUCCAAUUCUUUAGAUAUAUAUCCACAGCAUUUUUUUUUUCACCUGCAUCCUCUAUGUUAAUGUGUUUGCAUCAGGGGCUACACACUAACUCUGUCACAACUUUUGACAAUGUCUAUGCCAUGUUCCCAUUCCGUGCAUCAAGAGAAGACCAAAAAAAUUUCCUUUGGUACCAGCCGCAGAGGUUCUAAAGUACAGAACCAGGUAUUUUUUCACAUCAGAAGGCCCCUGUUUAUAGGUGGAAACUUUAAAGAGAAACAAGGGAAGGGAUAUUCCUAUUUGAACUCUGGAAUCUUUGUUUUUUCAUUGUCAUUCGGGUCUCACCUCAGAGCACCCUUCUCUUUCUAGAAGCAGCAGCUUCUUCGGGGAGUGUUGGCCCCCAUUGGAGGUGGUUGGGAUUCCACUUGCUUAAACUUACAGGAAGGGCAUCGGAAGGCUCUCUGAGGCUCUGCGUGAGUUCUCCACUCCUCCCUUUCUUUCACCAGUAGAAAAAUGCUAUCCUUACAAGGUCAUGUUUGAGGAGCCCUCAGUUUAGCCAGUGAACCUCCACGUUACAGAGAGCUGAACAAUGCCAGGUUCUUGACUGUGCCCUCUAAGCCUCAGUCGUGAUUGGCACAGAAGCAACCAGUCUGCUGAAAAGCCGAGCCAGCACAAAUGUUUUGAAACGAAUUCCACUGAAACUCUUGUUUGUUACAUCAUACUUGCUGUAGUUCCAGUUAAUCCAACUAUUUAAUAUCAUGAGGUACUAAAUUAAAUAGCUGUACACAAAAUUUUAGAAAAGAUCAAUAUUGUAACAAAAUUACAUAUUAGCAGUAAAAAGUACCCAAGAAAAGAAAAUAUUGAUCCAUUGUGGUUUCUAUACUUGAGUUAUUCUUAGGACUCUGGAGAGACUGGCACUGCUCUGAUAAAUGAGAAGAUGGCUUUCUUUGGUCUUUGAAAAUGUUUAUCGGAGUAUAGUUGAAUUUGCAAUGUUGCGUUAGUUUCAGGUGUACAACAAAGGGACUCAGCUACCUAUAUACACGUGUCUGUUCCUUUUCAGAUUCUUUUCCUAUAUAGGUCACUACAGCGUGUUGAGCAGAUUUCCCUGUGCUGCACAGUAGGUCCCCGUUACUCCUCCAUUCCAUAUAUGGGGAAGACGUUUUGAAUUCGAGAAUACGAACUUGAACUAAGGGGAAACUGCCUGUCUCUCUCUGGGCCUCUGCUCAUCUGUUUGGGAUGCUCCCUGUUCCGUCUUAGCAGACAGGGUUGUUGGGAGGCCAAAAUGAGCAAAGGGGAGAAGCUAUGCUGUACCACCCAUAUCUGUGUAUUCAUCCUGGUGAGCUGGGCUAUUGGCUUUUGUCAGUGAGCCCUUUUCUUUUGUUUAUGCCUUCCCUUCAUAGCUCUUAUUACUGAGAUUCCAUUCUGGAAUUUUGAAAAGUAAAAUAAGAAAGUUAUCAAUCAGCAUUCUGAAUGCACACCCAAUAUAUGGCGACUGGUCUACAAAGCUCAUGGUCAAGGUGCCCAUUCAUCCCCACAUCACCUCCCAAAGGUUUAGAGCACUAGCCGAGCGGAGCUCAGUGCAGGUGAAGAUUGCCAAUCCCCGAGGUUGAAGACAGCCCAUGAAGUUGACAAAUUGAGGGUCACAGGAAGCAGAGAGCCACAUCGAACUUCCUUGAUGAGCUGCCAUAUAUUAGUCUUUGUGCUAGGAAAGAAAGAGGAAGAAAAAUGAGACAAUGUAAAUUGCAUGUGAGACCAGGGCUCUCAAUUGAGUAUGAGAGGGGGGAAAAAUCCUGCACAAAAAACAAAACAAACAAACAAAAAAACCUGGUUCACUGUUUUGCAGACACUAACAAACAUGGCUAUAAAAGCACAUUUUGUAACACAAAAGCCUACGUAGAUCGUAGACAUGUUUAUAGCAUCCUUAAGUGAGUAGUUAAACCAGCAGUCUGAAUUCUCUUAGUCCCCUGAGUGGUUAAUUAAAUAUUUUCCUUAUUCAUUGCCCACAACUGUGGUUUUCCCCCUCUAUGCACCCUAGAAAAAUUCCCAAGACUAGACUUAGGAGGACACAAGCCGGUUAUGUGGUAAAAUAAGAGUGCCUUUUCUGUUGGAUGUUCAUUUUAGUGCCCUGCAUUUCCAGGGCAUACCAUGUUUAGAAACUUUUUUCUCUAAACGUAGGAAUUACUAGGCACCACGAUUUUGAAAUACCAAUUUCCAUAUCUUAAGCAGCUGUCAACUUGCCAAUUCCCUUUGGGUCUCCUUUACAUUUUCUUAUAAUGUUUCCUUGUGUUUUGGGUUGCCCUCAAAAAGAGUUUUGGGGGGGCAUGACUUUUUAAAUUGAUAGAAAUGCAACUGUACAGAUUUUUGCCCCCUUGUAUCUGUGAGCAUGAUCUCUAUCAGGCUUGAAAAAUCUGCUUUAUCAUUUUGUAUAUUUGACUAUUUUGUAUUCAACAUUACUUGAUUCCUUAUGUGCAUGGCGAUGUAUUAAAAUGUGGGAUUUCU
rnacentral:lncRNA from 1 species